GUUACUAAUCGUUAAAAAAAAACCAAAAAA
rnacentral:sRNA from 1 species